rnacentral:rRNA from 1 species
UACGUAGGGGGCAAGCGUUGUCCGGAUUUAUUGGGCGUAAAGAGCUCGUAGGCGGUUCGACAAGUCGGAUGUGAAAUCUCCACGCUCAACGUGGAGGGGCCAUUCGAAACUGUCGUGACUUGAGUCCGGUAGGGGAGUGUGGAAUUCCCGGUGUAGCGGUGAAAUGCGUAGAUAUCGUAAGGAAGACCAGUGGCGAAGGCGGGUCUCUGGACAGUUCCUGACGCUGAGGCACGAAGGCCAGGGGAGCAAACGGG